GCUCCGAUAGUGUAGCCCGGCCAAGCACCUCGGCCUUUCAAGCCGAUGACGCGGGUCCGAAUCCCGCUCGGAGCA
rnacentral:tRNA from 1 species